rnacentral:ncRNA from 2 species
AUGUUAUCAAGAAAGGUGGAGGGAUUAGACCCUGUGAAACCUUAGCAACCCUUUGUCCUGCAAAGAAGGUGCUACAUUCUAGCCAUUAUGGAUAGAUAACAA